UACAGAGGGUGCAAGCGUUAAUCGGAAUUACUGGGCGUAAAGCGCGCGUAGGUGGUUUGUUAAGUUGGAUGUGAAAUCCCCGGGCUCAACCUGGGAACUGCAUUCAAAACUGACAAGCUAGAGUAUGGUAGAGGGUGGUGGAAUUUCCUGUGUAGCGGUGAAAUGCGUAGAUAUAGGAAGGAACACCAGUGGCGAAGGCGACCUCCUGGACUGAUACUGACACUGAGGUGCGAAAGCGUGGGGAGCAAACAGG
rnacentral:rRNA from 1 species